GAAGAUCAUCUAAGUGGAUUGUUUCUCUCCAUUGUAUCUCAUUAGUUAUUUCGUGGUAACCCGGUGAUCCUAGAGGGGCGAAAUUAAAUUAAUAGGAAAGCAUAGUUUCCGUGCCUUGGAGUGGAUAUCCGGUUCUCUCAUUGAUCACACAUAUAACAUCAGCAAUUUCAAUCUUUGUCAGUAAAAAUCCAAUCUUCCCAACCACAUUUUAGAUAUUAGGGGGUAAAAGUUUCAAGAAGCUACACCAUAGCCUCACUUCCUCCAUUAAUGGAGCUUGACCAAGCUUAAAUUUUCUGACUAAAUCCCUCUAUAAAUACUGAAACUUACUCACUAAAAUCCUCAAGCAAACAAUCUAAAAAGGUUUGCUUCAAUUCAUCUCUCUCCCUCUUUAAUUUCUGAAUUUCUGUUUUUAAAAGAUAAAAUAAAAAAAAAUUGAAAACCCACCAUUAACACCACCUUUGAACCACCACAGAAAACUCGACCGCCUCGACCACCCUUCGCGCAACCACGCCAGUCACCACAAACCGCCGGAAAACACUACCCUCAAAAAGCCAACCAACCACCCAGCCGUCAAUUCGCGCGCCCCCUGUAGCCCGUCGCAGCCUCCUCUGAUGCGUUGUGACCCACGCCCAGCCACCCUCGACCCCACGCGAACCCCCGCCUGAUUCCCCUUCGCCUGAGAUCGGCUGUGCGCCGGCCAAACUCCACCCACAAAGCACCUCUUCGAGCCUCCUCUGUCGCCCUCCCCUACUUUCUCCUUCCUUCGUUCCUUUUUUUUUUUUUUUUUUUGGUUUAAUGAAACUGAUUCAAUGAAUCAGUAAAGUCACCCCUCUCCCUUUAUUUAGUUUUAUUAGUUUAUUUCUUUUAAAACAAAUGACUUUCCUAAUUUAGCCUUUUCUUUUAAAGUUAGUAUAAUUAGAUUGACUUAAAUCUUUUAUAAACUUGAUAAUGUUUUCUAAUUUUUCUAAAUUAAAACAAGGAGUAGCAUAAAGUUAGUUUUCUAUGUUUAGAAUAAUUGUUUAAGUUAAUAAAAAUUAAGUUGAAGUAAUUUUAUGAAUAUUUAAAAAUGAUUUCAUAUAUAGUGUGAUAACUAUAAAUUUUGAUUUAUAAACUCUCUUAAGUUCAUUAAGAAUUUCUAUAAAGUUAUUUGAAAUAUUUAAAUUAUUUAUUUUAUAAAAAGGGGUUAUUUAGGAACUAACUUAGAUCUCGUUAAUAUCUAUUGUAGACUCCGAUUUCAUAGACAACGACUAUCAAGAACGUUAAUACAUUCGUGAACUUAGCUUUGGGCACGCGUCACGAGGUGGGUGAUCGAUCAAGGGAAAAAAAAGGGAGAUCACUUAGAGUUGUCAUCCACUUAGCAUAUGAUUAGCUUCCGCUGGAACUCUGAAACUUAAUUAAUUAGUAAUGUUUAAUGAACAAUUUACUUAGUUGUAAUGAUUAAUGAAUUUGA